rnacentral:rRNA from 1 species
GACGAACGCUGGCGGCGUGCUUAACACAUGCAAGUCGAACGGAAAGGCCCUGCUUUUGUGGGGUGCUCGAGUGGCGAACGGGUGAGUAACACGUGAGUAACCUGCCCUUGACUUUGGGAUAACUUCAGGAAACUGGGGCUAAUACCGGAUAGGAGCUCCUGCUGCAUGGUGGGGGUUGGAAAGUUUCGGCGGUUGGGGAUGGACUCGCGGCUUAUCAGCUUGUUGGUGGGGUAGUGGCUUACCAAGGCUUUGACGGGUAGCCGGCCUGAGAGGGUGACCGGCCACAUUGGGACUGAGAUACGGCCCGGACUCCUACGGGAGGCAGCAGUGGGGAAUAUUGCACGAUGGACGGAAGCCUGAUGCAGCAACGCCGCGUGCGGGAUGACGGCCUUCGGGUUGUAAACCGCUUUCGCCUGUGACGAAGCGUGAGUGACGGUAAUGGGUAAAGAAGCACCGGCUAACUACGUG